rnacentral:rRNA from 1 species
GGUGGCCAUAGCGGAGGGGUCACACCCGGUCCCAUCCCGAACCCGGAAGUUAAGCCCUCCAGCGCCGAUGGUACUGCCCGGGGGACCGGGUGGGAGAGUAGGUCGCUGCC